GUCAAGAUCAGUAAAGUCUUACCACCUAUUAUUUGGUGGUUUAACUUUAUAAAUACGAACUAUCCAGUUAGACGUCGUAAAUGCCUCUUCCAAGUGUUCUAGUUUAAUGUCUUUAUUCCCGAUUUCAACACCUCGAGCUCGAUCAUAGAUGCCGUAUCAAGAAGCAAUUGUGGGUAUUUUUUUUUAGCAAUGUAACUAUAAUAGACAUGUAUUGUGUGGUAAAGUAUCAUGGGCAAUUUAAUCCAUAUACAUUAAAUUAAGAAGUAAAUUGGUCCUUUCUAUUAAAAAUUCCAUCUAUUUAUUCUGUUAAAACUAACGUGGCUGACAGAAUAACCAGUGACAUAUGACGUGCCAUGUGCACCUCAUAUUGACGUACAAGGUCCAAUUUUUAACAGCAAAAAUGGAUGGAAUUUUUAACAAAAAGGCCUAUUUGCUCUUUAUCUAAUGUAUAGGGACUAAUUUUCUCAUUUCUUGAGUAGAGCGGUAAAAUGCAAUCUAACUGGCCUACAUGUUACUUUUACCUAUAUUGUGUGCAUAUUCGAUAUUUUAGUACAAGCAAGUUGAAAAUGCCAACUUACCCAGGAGGUUUGCCAUAUUCUGUCAUCAUCUCUCCGAACCGAUAGUACGAUAGCUUGUACCUAAUCACAUAAAUACGUAUAUGCAUGAAGAAUUUAGAACACAGAGGCACUGGAGAGUG
rnacentral:lncRNA from 1 species